GGUCAGGAUGAACGCUAGCUACAGGCUUAACACAUGCAAGUCGAGGGGCAGCAUGAUCAAAGCUUGCUUGAUUGAUGGCGACCGGCGCACGGGUGAGUAACGCGUAUCCAACCUUCCCUUAGUAGGGCAUAGCCCGGCGAAAGUCGGAUUAAUACCCUAUGUUAUUCGUCGAGGACAUCUGAAGUGAAUCAAAGAUUUAUCGCUAAGGGAUGGGGAUGCGUCUGAUUAGGUUGUUGGCGGGGUAACGGCCACCAAGCCAUCGAUCAGUAGGGUUCUGAGAGGAAGGUCCCCCACAUUGGUACUGAGACACGGACCAAACUCCUACGGGAGGCAGCAGUGAGGAAUAUUGGUCAAUGGGCGAGAGCCUGAACCAGCCAAGUAGCGUGCAGGAUGACUGCCCUAUGGGUUGUAAACUGCUUUUAUACGGGGAUAAAGUGAGGUAUGCAUACCUUUUUGUAGGUACCGUAUGAAUAAGGACCGGCUAAUUCCGUGCCAGCCGCUGC
rnacentral:rRNA from 1 species